CAAGUAUGGGUUAGAUAUAUAACCCGUGACUCGAUUCAUAUGGUUCCUGCUACUCAUUACCUGUGUGGUGGGGUUCAGGCUGUGCUUCAAUGGGAGUGGACUUUAUGUUCAGUUAUGUGGUGAUGACGCUUCUGAAGGUGUGUUUGUCGGGGCCUUUCUCUCCAUGUCAUCAACAGCAGUGGUUUUGAAGUUUCUGAUGGAAAAGAAUAGUAUUAGCACUCUCUAUGGUCAGGUCACUGUUGGUAC